rnacentral:rRNA from 1 species
GAUAAACGCUGGCGGCGCACAUAAGACAUGCAAGUCGAACGGAAGUCGUUGUAAUGAUUUUGACAUGGACAGAGAACUUGUUCGAAGAAAGUGAAGAUUGACUUACAACAAUGGCUUUAGUGGCGGACUGGUGAGUAACGCGUGAGCAACCUGCCUGUUAGAGGGGAAUAACAGUGAGAAAUCAUUGCUAAUACCGCAUAUGCCAUAAGCACCACAUGGUGCUAGUGGGAAAGGUUUACUGGCUAGGGAUGGGCCCGCGGCCUAUCAGCUUGUUGGUGGGGUAACGGCCCACCAAGGCGACGACGGGUUAGCCGGCCUGAGAGGGCGACCGGCCACACUGGGACUGAGACACGGCCCAGACUCCUACGGGAGGCAGCAGUGGGGAAUAUUGCACAAUGGGCGAAAGCCUGAUGCAGCGACGCCGCGUGAGGGAUGACGGCCUCGGUGUAA